GAGUUUGAUCGUGGCUCAGAGUGAACACUGGCGGUAGGCCUAACACAUGCAAGUCGAACGGUAACAGGUCUUUCGGGAUGCUGACGAGUGGCGGACGGGUGAGGAAUACAUCGGAAUCUGCUCAGUCGUGGGGGAUAACGCAUGGAAACGUGCGCUAAUACCGCAUACGACCUUCGGGUGAAAGCAGGGGAAUCUUUAGGGAUCCUUGCGCGAUUGAAUGAGCCGAUGUCGGAUUAGCUAGUUGGUAGGGUAAAAGCCUACCAAGGCGACGAUCCGUAGCUGGUCUGAGAGGAUGAUCAGCCACACUGGGACUGAGACACGGCCCAGACUCCUGCGGGAGGCAGCAGUGGGGAAUAUUGGACAAUGGGGGCAACCCUGAUCCAGCCAUACCGCGUGGGUGAAGAAGGCCUUCUGGGUUGUAAAGCCCUUUUGUUGGGGAAGAAAAACAACGGGUUAAUACCCCGUUGGUAUGACGGUACCCAAAGAAUAAGCACCGGCUAACUUCGUGCCAGCAGCCGCGGUAAUACGAAGGGUGCAAGCGUUACUCGGAAUUACUGGGCGUAAAGGGUGCGUAGGUGGUUGCGCCAGUCUGUCGUGAAAGCCCUGGGCUUAACCUGGGAAUGGCGAUGGAAACUGUGCAACUAGAGUGUGACAGAGGGUGGUGGAAUUCCUGGUGUAGCAGUGAAAUGCGUAGAGAUCAGGAGGAACAUUCGUGGCGAAGGCGGCCACCUGGGUCAACACUGACACUGAGGCACGAAAGCGUGGGGAGCAAACAGGAUUAGAUACCCUGGUAGUCCACGCCCUAAACGAUGCGAACUGGAUGUUGGGUCCAACUUGGGAUUCAGUAUCGAAGCUAACGCGUUAAGUUCGCCGCCUGGGGAGUACGGUCGCAAGACUGAAACUCAAAGGAAUUGACGGGGGCCCGCACAAGCGGUGGAGUAUGUGGUUUAAUUCGAUGCAACGCGCAGAACCUUACCUGGCCUUGACAUGCACGGGAGUCUUUAGAGAUAGA
rnacentral:rRNA from 1 species